rnacentral:rRNA from 1 species
GCGGAAGGAUCAUUAUUGAAUUUUGAGAGAGGUUGUAGCUGAUCAUUAAGAUAUGUGCACGCCUCAUUUCCAAAUUUUACACCAUGUGCACUUUUUGUAGGCUGACUUCUGUUGGUCUAUGUCUUUUUAAACACACUCAAAAGUUUAGAAUGUUAAAACACAAGCUUUGCAUUUUUGCAAGCUUUAAAAUUAAUACAACUUUCAACAACGGAUCUCUUGGCUCUCGCAUCGAUGAAGAACGCAGCGAAAUGCGAUAAGUAAUGUGAAUUGCAGAAUUCAGUGAAUCAUCGAAUCUUUGAACGCACCUUGCGCUCCUUGGUAUUCCGAGGAGCAUGCCUGUUUGAGUGUCAUUAAAUUCUCAAUCCUUUCAAACUUGUUUUGCAGAGGCUUUGGAUUUUGGAGUGUUGCUGGGCUUUCAAAGUCGGCUCCCCUUAAAUGUAUUAGCUUGUAUAUUUUUGCGGACAAGCUUUAGUUUGAUAAAUAUCUAUGCUAAUUGCUUUGAAGCAAAUGUCAGCUUCCAAUUGUUGUUUUACAACACUUUUUUGACAUUUUGACCUCCAAUCAGGUAGGACUACCCGGCUGAACUUAAGCAUAUCCAUAAGCGGAGGAAAAGAAACUAACAAGGAUUCCCCUAGUAACUGCGAGUGAAGCGGGAAAAGCUCAAAUUUAAAAUCUGGCAGUCUUUUGGCUGUCCC